UGAAUGAACGCUGUCCAAAUGCUUGACACAUGCUAAUCGAACGUCUAAUUUUAUAAAAUUUAAUUAGAAGUGGUGUACAGGUGAGUAAAUGAUAACCUAGCUGCCUUAAAGUAAGGACAAAAUCCCUUAUAAAUAAAAAGAAAUAGAAAGUUUCGCUUUAAGAUGGUAGCGUAUAUCCUGGAGGAGUAUUAGCGUAAAGCUAGCUCAUGUUCCGGCAGUCGAGACUGAGAGGUCGAUCGAUCACAUUGGGUCUGAAAAAAGCCCACGGCAGAUAGUACAGCAGUGGGGUAUAUUGGUCAAUAGCCUAACGGCUGAACCAGCAACUUGGAAGAACGUAUAACGAAUAAGUCGUAUAAAAUUCUAGGUAGAAGAAUGAUAAUGAACAAUUUACAUCUAUAAGUCUUGACCUAAAUUACGUGCCAGCAGCCGC
rnacentral:rRNA from 1 species